rnacentral:rRNA from 1 species
GUAGGUGGCAAGCGUUGUCCGGAAUUAUUGGGCGUAAAGCGCGCGCAGGCGGUUCUUUAAGUCUGAUGUGAAAGCCCACGGCUCAACCGUGGAGGGUCAUUGGAAACUGGAGAACUCGAGUACAGAAGAGGAAAGCGGAAUUCCACGUGUAGCGGUGAAAUGCGUAGAGAUGUGGAGGAACACCAGUGGCGAAGGCGGCUUUCUGGUCUGUAACUGACGCUGAGGCGCGAAAGCGUGGGGAGCAAACAGGAUUAGAUACCCUGGUAGUCCACGCCGUAAACGAUGAGUGCUAAGUGUUAGGGGGUUUCCGCCCCCCUUAGUGCUGCAGCUAACGCAUUAAGCACUCCGCCUGGGAGUACGGCCGCAAGGCUG